CAUUUCUGUUGCUUUUACGAUUCUUCUUUCAGUUUUGGUAUGAUUUGUAUCCAGGAAGGAUAUUACAUGCAGGUUAAAACUGAACUUUACUACCUGUUUAGUGUAGUGUAUUCAAAUUGGUAAUUUAAAUUUACAACGAAAUAUGGAGUCUGUUUUAUUAGCGGCUUACCUGUAAAAGGCUUUCAUAUAUCCAAAAUAUGAAGUGGUGGGUAACUCUGGGUAAUACAAAGACACCAUGUCUUUAUGUUUCGGAUACACGAACGCCAUCAUCACCUUAUGGUUUGGAUACCACUUGACAGUAAAUUUGUAUACACGCUAACCUUUAACCGACAGGUCUUUAAUAAAAAAAAUGACCGACUUAGUUUUGACUCCAAGGAAAGUGCAUUUUACAAGUUUGUGCUUUUUGUGUAACUGAACUACUUUUGACAGUAAAUACAGCAAACAAUAGUUGUACUAUUUUAAUCAAACAACUUACGUUGGAAUUGGCAGAAUGCUGUCAGAUGAUGAAACCACUUUAACGAUUUUGUUCUGGAUUCUUUCAGCAAUGGACUUACUACUGCUAUAGCUAGCUGUCUCAUGUGCUCCAACAACGCCCAACACCAUCUCAGUCAGUAGAUAAAACAACUUGUUUAUUUCCGGAAAUUCUGGAGAGAAAAACAAUUAUGAACGUCGCUCGAGUGAAUGUGCUAGCAAAUCUUAAUAGCAUACAAGUAAUGUUUUACCGGAUGUUGUGUCACUCAUAUGUCAUUCACAUCAAAUCAUUUCAAAAACUUAUAGUUAAAGAUCAAGUAACAAUUAAGAAACAACGAACACUCCAGAACGCCCGGACGUCAUAUCGAAAGAACUGUAUCCGUUCCCAGAGCUAGUGUCGAUUUGCAUUCUUUUAUAUGCGCAGGCGUUUAAAGCAUGUCUAUGGAAGAGUUUUCCAAGUUAUGUUAUGUAUGUCUCGGUUUCUUUAAAUGAUGUCGAAAUAUAUUUUAUUCGCAUUUUGAUAUUUUUCACUUGUAAAAAAAAUCAUAUUCUUACCCAUAUUUUGUCUGUGUGCCAUCACUUUCUGCAAGAUGCUUUUUAUGUGUUGUCUUGGGAAAUCUCCAGUUUCCGAAUUGAAGUUAACCUCAAGGGAUUCGCUGAUUGUAGCGAAUACAUCAAUUCUGGAAAAAAUGAAUAAUGAUUGAAACCAACUAAUAAACCUGACUUAUUUUAUGUUUUAUAAGACGAUUUCACUUCAUACCAGAUAUUGUGUUUGUGUUCAAACUAUUUGGCAUGGGUAUGUCUCAUGCUAAUAAGAUUUUAGCAAUUAAUUAAUUAAAAUGUUUUAAUAAAAACAAUAAUAUACCCUU